GACGAACCGAGCGAACGUUGUUCGGAAUCACUGGGCGUAAAGCGCACGUAGGCGGACUCUUAAGUCGGUGGUGAAAUCCUGGAGCUCAACUCCAGAACUGCCUUCGAUACUGAGAGUCUCGAGUCCGAGAGAGGUGAGUGGAACUGCGAGUGUAGAGGUGAAAUUCGUAGAUAUUCGCAAGAACACCAGUGGCGAAGGCGGCUCACUGGCUCGGUACUGACGCUGAGGUGCGAAAGCGUGGGGAGCAAACAGG
rnacentral:rRNA from 1 species